UUGACGUUAGCGACAGAAGAAGCACCGGCUAACUCCGUGCCAGCAGCCGCGGUAAUACGGAGGGUGCGAGCGUUAAUCGGAAUUACUGGGCGUAAAGCGCAUGCAGGUGGUUUGUUAAGUCAGAUGUGAAAGCCCGGGGCUCAACCUCGGAAUAGCAUUUGAAACUGGCAGACUAGAGUACUGUAGAGGGGGGUAGAAUUUCAGGUGUAGCGGUGAAAUGCGUAGAGAUCUGAAGGAAUACCGGUGGCGAAGGCGGCCCCCUGGACAGAUACUGACACUCAGAUGCGAAAGCGUGGGGAGCAAACAGGAUUAGAUACCCUGGUAGUCCACGCCGUAAACGAUGUCUACUUGGAGGUUGUGGCCUUGAGCCGUGGCUUUCGGAGCUAACGCGUUAAGUAGACCGCCUGGGGAGUACGGUCGCAAGAUUAAAACUCAAAUGAAUUGACGGGGGCCCGCACAAGCGGUGGAGCAUGUGGUUUAAUUCGAUGCAACGCGAAGAACCUUACCUACUCUUGACAUCCAGAGAACUUUCCAGAGAUGGAUUGGUGCCUUCGGGAACUCUGAGACAGGUGCUGCAUGGCUGUCGUCAGCUCGUGUUGUGAAAUGUUGGGUUAAGUCCCGCAACGAGCGCAACCCUUAUCCUUGUUUGCCAGCGAGUAAUGUCGGGAACUCCAGGGAGACUGCCGGUGAUAAACCGGAGGAAGGUGGGGACGACGUCAAGUCAUCAUGGCCCUUACGAGUAGGGCUACACACGUGCUACAAUGGCGCAUACAGAGGGCAGCAAGCUAGCGAUAGUGAGCGAAUCCCAAAAAGUGCGUCGUAGUCCGGAUUGGAGUCUGCAACUCGACUCCAUGAAGUCGGAAUCGCUAGUAAUCGUGGAUCAGAAUGCCACGGUGAAUACGUUCCCGGGCCUUGUACACACCGCCCGUCACACCAUGGGAGUGGGCUGCAAAAGAAGUAGGUAGUUUAACCUUCGGGAGGACGCUUACCACUUUGUGGU
rnacentral:rRNA from 1 species